GAUGAUCAGCCUUGAGGGGCACAUCAUUUGUGAGGGCAUCCAGUCGGCUUUUCUGUCUGGGCUUACUGCUGUUUUUUCUACUUUCUACAAUCUCAAUCUUCAAUACCAAGCUGAGGCAGCAUGCACACUGGAAUUCAUUCAAAGGCGGUUCAUCGGGAUAAAUCCAGAAAAAGGCACCAAGGCUGGAGGAGUCAUAUCAAAGCGGACGGGAAAGGUCGCCCAGAAAAACAAAACAGUGUCUCCAGUCUGCUUAAAAAAUGAAUGGAUUUUGAGUGGGACUUUAUAAAAAUCCAUAUAGGAAACCAUGUUUGGAUCAGAGAAGAGGUGUGGAAGAAGAUUAAUUGAUCAACAAAAGAUUCUCUCUAUGUCAAAGAGAUGGCUGUGGCACUGUGGGGGACAAACACUUUAAAAAGCAGAAGUGUGUCAGGAAAGGAGUGUCCCACGAAUAAACACUCUGCAAAGCCUCCCCUGACACCCUCCAAGCUGCAAGUUUUGAGAGUCUGCUUCAGUGACUGGCUCAAACAAAAAGAACCUGAGAAAGGAGAGAGAGAGAAGUGGAAGAAGCAAGUGGGGUAUUACAUAUCCCAAAAAAUUCAAGAUAUCAUAAAAAAAGAAAGGAAAAAUGAAAAUGUGUAAUAUGUCUAUAAUUCUGUUAUUGUUCACCUUUACAUCUGUAUAUAG